rnacentral:rRNA from 1 species
GGAGGAAACUCUGAUGCAGCGACGCCGCGUGAGUGAAGAAGGUCUUCGGAUCGUAAAACUCUGUCCUUGGUGAAGAUAAUGACGGUAGCCAAGGAGGAAGCCCCGGCUAACUACGUGCCAGCAGCCGCGGUAAUACGUAGGGGGCGAGCGUUGUCCGGAUUUACUGGGCGUAAAGGGUGAGUAGGCGGUAAUAUGUGUCAGAUGUAAAAGGCUAAGGCUUAACCAUAGUUAGCAUUUGAAACUGUAUUACUUGAGUGCAGGAGAGGUAAGUGGAAUUCCUAGUGUAGCGGUGAAAUGCGUAGAUAUUAGGAGGAACACCAGUGGCGAAGGCGACUUACUGGACUGUAACUGACGCUGAGUCACGAAAGCGUGGGUAGCAAACAGGAUUAGAUACCCUGGUAGUCCACGCCGUAAACGAUGAGUGCUAGGUGUUGGGUAGCGAUACUCAGUGCCGAAGUAAACACAAUAAGCACUCCGCCUGGGGAGUACGG